AUGAACGCUGGCGGCGUGCCUCAUCCAUGCAAGUCGAGCGAACGGACGAGAAGCUUGCUUCUCUGAUGUUAGCGGCGGACGGGUGAGUAACACGUGGAUAACCUACCUAUAAGACUGGGAUAACUUCGGGAAACCGGAGCUAAUACCGGAUAAUAUUUUGAACCGCAUGGUUCAAAAGUAAAAGACGGUCUUGCUGUCACUUAUAGAUGGAUCCGCGCUGCAUUAGCUAGUUGGUAAGGUAACGGCUUACCAAGGCAACGAUGCAUAGCCGACCUGAGAGGGUGAUCGGCCACACUGGAACUGAGACACGGUCCAGACUCCUACGGGAGGCAGCAGUAGGGAAUCUUCCGCAAUGGGCGAAAGCCUGACGGAGCAACGCCACGUGAGUGAUGAAGGUCUUCGGAUCGUAAAACUCUGUUAUUAGGGAAGAACAUAUGUGUAAGUAACUGUGCACAUCUUGACGGUACCUAAUCAGAAAGCCACGGCUAACUACGUG
rnacentral:rRNA from 1 species